rnacentral:rRNA from 1 species
GAAUGCUGACAUAAGUAACGAUAAAGCGGGUGAAAAGCCCGCUCGCCGGAAGACCAAGGGUUCCUGUCCAACGUUAAUCGGGGCAGGGUGAGUCGACCCCUAAGGCGAGGCCGAAAGGCGUAGUCGAUGGGAAACGGGUUAAUAUUCCCGUACUUGGUGUUACUGCGAAGGGGGGACGGAGAAGGCUAUGUUGGCCGGGCGACGGUUGUCCCGGUUUAAGCGUGUAGGUGUGUGUUCCAGGUAAAUCCGGUUCACUUUAACACUGAGGCGUGACGACGAGGCACUACGGUGCUGAAGCAACAAAUGCCCUGCUUCCAGGAAAAGCCUCUAAGCAUCAGGUAACACGAAAUCGUACCCCAAACCGACACAGGUGGUCAGGUAGAGAAUACCAAGGCGCUUGAGAGAACUCGGGUGAAGGAACUAGGCAAAAUGGUGCCGU